AACCAAAAGCGCGAAUGGAGAAAUUAUUUGCAAACAUUGUCCGCAACAUAGAAGAUAGAGAUGAAAGAGUUCCAUCAAUUGCAUCUUAUUAAUGAAUGAAUGAGACUAACCGUCCACCUCGUCAACAUCGUCAUAGACGUGGUUUUAGGUCUUACAAACUUGAUGAGUAUGUCAAGGAGCUUGAACAUAUGAACUAUGAGAAAAUUGUAUUUUUAAUUUACUAAUUUGUCUUUUAUUUCUUAUGUAAUGUUGGACUUACGAGGACUUGCCUAACAUCUGUAAACGAGGUGAUUAUGGAAGGUUUCCUGAACAUACUCCAAGAGCCUAUAGGUGGUCCACAAAACAUAUUGUUGAAAGCGGGUUGCUAACUUAUGAGUGGAGACUUAAUGAUAUUUUGCUUGAGAAUGCUGUAUUUACCCCCAUACGAUGGUGACCGAGUCAAUCAUCCUUUUGAACCAAUGACGAUGCUCUUUAACUACGUUGGCUCGGGUGGAGUUUUAGUCCCAUUUCUACCUGAGCGAUAUAUUUGACAAUUUAGCCGCCUUACGUGCAUUUCGCGUGACGUUCCUUUGGUGACAACUAGUAUAGAUUGAAAGUGGUAUAAUAUUUUGAGAGCAUGUAUAACGACCCUUCAGAGUUUUUAGUCUGUUGUGACGUUUUCUGGUGAGGUAUUUGAGAACUAUUAUGUCUGGUAAUUUGAUGUUUCACAUCAUCUGAUCUUCCCCGAUGCUCCACCUGCUACUCCACCUACCACCCCACAUGUUCCAUCAUCUUCAUCACAAGCUAGUUCAUCUUCUACACGAUACACUAGAGCAUCUGAGCUUUUACAGAGGGUCAUAUUGAUGGCGAAGUUCUUGUGAUAUUAAGUGAGUUACUCACAUAUUUCAGGGAUACCAUUAGUAGAUUGUGUUAAUAUAUUUUGCACUAUGAAUAUAAUUCUCGUUAUGGUAUAUGUUUAUUUUCGGUCAAUUAUGCAACUACUAUUUUAUUUCUCCAAAAUAAACAAAUAACAGACACAAAGCUUCACGGCUACAAACUAAUCUUCAUUUAAUGAAACACAAGAUGAUUUGAUAAAUGUUGGAUCUAUGUUUUCCAAUGCUUGAGACGUCCUGCAUAAGCUAUUUCUCACGCCUUCACAUCAUCACUACAAAAGUCUCUCCAUUUCUGUGUGGUAAGUGGCAGAGGACAACCAAACUUCAUUUUUAUCUGCGCCAAUAAAGUAUUAAAAAUUAGUUUACUUUUUAACGUUACUUUACUAUUAAACAUUACUUUACCAUAAAUUUUACCCGUACCCAAUUAUCUUCAUUGACAAAUUCAAUUGCUAUUAAAGAAUUAUGAAAAGAAUCCCUUGAUGGUGGUUCAGUCAACGAAAAAAAUGUCAUAUUCAAAUUAGAGACAAUGACACCAGAACAAUAUUAUAUCUUGUCGUUAUCACAUAAUCCAUCUCUGAUAUAGUCAUCCACUUUUCUUUUUCUUGAACACCCAAACUAAAUAUCUUCAAUGAGUUCCACACUUUUUCAAUAUUGUCAUAGAAAACAUUGAAAUAAAGAUUUUGAUGUAGAUUGAUCUCCUUUUCUAAAUGUGUCUAAACUAAGGGACACAGUUCUUCACUCUAACCUCAUAAUGUUGCAACUACAUGAUAACCACAAUUUCCAUUAUGCUGGACAUCUACUAUGUCAUCAAUAUACUAAUGAAUACAAAUAGUAAAUGUAUCUUAGAUGAUUGCUUUGCAGAACGCUGAUAUGGUUGCUUUGCAGAAUGCUGAGAUGACUGCUUUUGAUAUCUUUGAGAAGUAUCAACGCACUCCCAAUAUGUGGUGGAUACAUUAUUGUUGUAUGUGGAAAUAAAAGUUCAUGCACCUUUGACAUGAAUAUUCUUUGACCAAAAAUAUUUUGUGUCUUCAUGUGUU